CCUACGGGGGGCAUCAGUGGGGAAUAUUGGACAAUGGGGGCAACCCUGAUCCAGCCAUGCCGCGUGUGUGAAGAAGGCCCUCGGGUUGUAAAGCACUUUCAGUGAGGAAGAACGCCUGGUGGUUAAUACCCAUCAGGAAAGACAUCACUCACAGAAGAAGCACCGGCUAACUCCGUGCCAGCAGCCGCGGUAAUACGGAGGGUGCGAGCGUUAAUCGGAAUUACUGGGCGUAAAGCGCGCGUAGGUGGCUUGAUAAGCCGGUUGUGAAAGCCCCGGGCUCAACCUGGGAACGGCAUCCGGAACUGUCAAGCUAGAGUGCAGGAGAGGAAGGUAGAAUUCCCGGUGUAGCGGUGAAAUGCGUAGAGAUCGGGAGGAAUACCAGUGGCGAAGGCGGCCUUCUGGACUGACACUGACACUGAGGUGCGAAAGCGUGGGUAGCAAACAGGAUUAGAUACCCCGGUAGUC
rnacentral:rRNA from 1 species